UUGAAUCCCAACCCCACUUAAUGGGGAGUGGGACCCUUGGAUUUUGUUGAUCCAAAGGUCAAGAUGUGAUCAUUUUUAUAGGUAUGGUGAUCAGAAUUUUGUCUCACUGUGAUUAGAUAUAGUGGCAGAGAGAACAACAUUAAGGGUUUUUGUGAAUUUAAGGCAGACAUGACACCCCUGCUUUUCUCUUCAUUUUUCUGUUUUCCCCUCUCUAUCCACUCACUAUUAUUGCAUGGAAUGGCUUUAAUUUACUUCUACCAUUUCCAAAACAUUUACUUAUUGCUUUAAAUUUUUUAAAAUAACUCCUCCUUGUUUUUCUCCUAUAAAUACCUCAGCUCUCUGAAUUCAUCUCCAUCUCAUACACUUCAAAAGAAAAAACAUUUUAACAAGCAAUGCUAGGUUAUUUAAUGAGUUUUAAUGGAUGAGUGGCUCCUGUUGGAGAAGCAGGGCACGUGCAAACUCGAUCAACAGAAAACUAACUGAUGAUCUGUUACUCUUUUGCACGCGCUCCCCUUCUCCAACACGGUCUUCUCAUCUAGUUCAGUAUGUGCAUGUGCUAAAUAUGAUCAGGCUUUUUGUAUUGCAAUGGUGAAAACUGAUGUUCUGGUUUCAAGCGACAGAGUCUGAUGUAACACUGUCACUGGAUAUUUAAAAAUGUUUACUGAAAAUCCUACGGUUGGACUUAGUCUCAGAAUCCAUAUACUUUGGAGAGUAGUUAUUACAGUUGUAGAGUGUGUCGUGUAAUUGUGUAUUACCUUCGCUUCUCUCGGACUCAUUAUGGAGCAAAAGUUUCAUUGCAUGAUCUGAAAUCAUGCACGUUAAUUUGCAUAAUAUGUAAAUUUAAAUUAUAUAUAAACUUUGUUUGACCUUUUAAUUAA